AUUCAUCGCCACCUCUCUAACCAGCAGCCCAAUCCGCCGCUGGACCGACCCCAAACUCCCCGGCAGCCAGGAUUCCCGCCCGGUGCGCUAGUCUGUUGAUCCCUCUGCGCCGGGCUGGGGCGCGCACGGGUCUGUAAGAGACUCAAGCGCAUCUCCCGCCGCGGGGCGGGAUCCGCGCGCCAGGCACCCGGGUUCAGAGGCCGGUAACUUUGCUAAUCUCCCCCAGCGGCGGGGGCCGCCCCAUGCAACCGCUGAGCCCUGUCCGCGGAGACUAAACAAGGAGAGGAAUGGGCUGUAAACACACAUCCUGACACGCAGGGAUGUUGCUCUUGGAGAAUGUGAAGACAGUUUGCUUCUUGACAAGCGAGCGAGCGGGCGCCCAGAUUUUUGCAGCCUUUCCGAGUCUACCCCGAGGGAAAGGCGCGCAGAGAAAACGCCGGAUUUGGGAGCCACCCGGGAAGGAUUCCGCACGGAGGAGUCGCCCUCCUUGGCCCCAAACCCGUCUGCCUGGGGGCCCCCCUUCGGGCACUGCCAGAGGAUGACCUGAAACUCUGAGGAUGGAGCUGGACUGGGGUUGGGGGAAGCUUCCUGAAUGAUAACUGCGAAGAAAAAAGAGGCAAAACAACGGCCCCCCCCCAUCCCCAAGCAAAAAGGACGGUGUUCUUAGAGCUGUAGGCUGCCGUCACAGGGUCAGUUGCCUGCCUCUAUUCCCGGAGAAAGUGCAACAUCUUCUAUC